rnacentral:rRNA from 1 species
UACAGAGGGUGCGAACGUUGCUCGGAAUUACUGGGCGUAAAGCGCAUGUAGGCGGAUCCAUAAGUCGGGCGUGAAAUCCCCAGGCUCAACCUGGGAACUGCGCUCGAAACUGUGGGUCUUGAGUGUUGGAGAGGAUGGCGGAAUUCCUGGUGUAGAGGUGAAAUUCGUAGAUAUCAGGAGGAACACCGGUGGCGAAGGCGGCCAUCUGGACAACAACUGACGCGUGA